AGUAACGCGUGAGGAACCUGCCUUCCAGAGGGGGACAACAGUUGGAAACGACUGCUAAUACCGCAUGACACAUGACCGUGGCAUCACGGACAUGUCAAAGAUUUAUCGCUGGAAGAUGGCCUCGCGUCUGAUUAGCUGGUAGGCGGGGUAACGGCCCACCUAGGCGACGAUCAGUAGCCGGACUGAGAGGUUGACCGGCCACAUUGGGACUGAGAUACGGCCCAAACUCCUACGGAAGGCAGCAG
rnacentral:rRNA from 1 species